CUUCCGUUCCACACCAGUGUUCUUUUCCAAGACUUAUCCGAGUACAAAUCCAAUAGAAAUAGUUUAUUAAAGAUGAAUAUACAAAACUUGCCUUGGUUAUACAAAACAUACAGCAGAUGGGGAAGGAUUUAAUAUGACAGUGUAUAUGGGGCGUUUGGGCAGUUGGAGCAAUAUAAUUCAUUCAAAUUAUCUUGCAUAUGGGAACAGCCACUGUUUUUUUAAGUAUUGCGUCUGUGGCAUACAUAAACUAUUUCUAUUGGAUUAAGCUGAUUCCCUGUUUACCUGCCCUUAAUAUAAAUGGCCAUUGAUGUUACUUUGCCAGCAAAGACACAGCACCCGGUAUUUCAGCUGCCAACCAAUGACAUUUCGUCCCGCCCCUACAUUUCAGCCAAUCCCUGUACUUUUCUCUUCGCUUCCUGCCCUCAAUAUAAAUGGCCAGGUUUGGCCGCAAAUGGACAACAUCGGGUACUUUGCUGACAGCCACUGACGUUUCGUUCCGUUCCGCUAUUCAGCCAAUCCCUGUCCUUUUCUCCUCUUCGCUUUCUGCCCUCAAUAUUAAUGGCCAUUCCCGUAGCUUUGGCCGCAAAUGCACAACAUCCGGUACUUUGCUGGCAGCCUCUGACGUUUCGUCCCGCCCCCACUAUUCAGCCAAUCCCUGUCCUUUUCUUCUCUUUGCUUCCGUACACUUUCCUUCCUGGCCAGCACUGUGAGCAUAGUAUUGUUAUGAUGCUACAGUGCAACUGGUUAGGCUGGGGACUGGGAGUCAGUCCCUAUAGUGUAUAGGCUGAAUGGAUAUAUCUCCCUCCUCGCCCCAUGUGACAGGCCCACAACAUGCCCUGUUGCAGACAUUGCUUAGUCUCCCGCCUGGCUUGGCUUUGGGCCCCACUCUUUCCCAAGCAGAAGGUAUGGGACUGUGGUGUGAGGACAAGGUGCUGCAGUGUGGGACGCUCCUUCCUCCUCUUCAUUUUGGGGAUCCUCAGGAAUUAAGGAACCCUCAUCACCAAAUAACGCCACCCGUUAGUUAAGGUAAGUAUGUUAAAGGGAUACGGUCAUGGUUAAUAGUGCUGCACCAGUAGAAUUCUGCACUGA